rnacentral:lncRNA from 1 species
GUGGGAUCUUCGUUGCUGGCAUGAGAACUCUUAGUUGCAGCAUGUGGGAUCUAGUUCCUUGACCAAGGAUGGAACCUAGGCCCCCUGCACUGGGGACGCGAAGGAAGUCUUAGCCAUCGGAUCACCAGGGAAGCCUCUCCCUUUUCUCUUUACCGGUCUCUUCUUUGCUUCUCUCCAGCCCAUGGCCCAGGGUAAGGGCACUUCCCCCGGGGGAGGGGUGGCCAGCAGGCAGGCUUUCUUUCCCAGUCAGUGAGGUGGACGUGCACAGGCACACGCGCUCCUCCACGUGCAAACACCUUCAAGUGGUGCCACUUAACACAGCUGUUCACGCUCUGGACUGAGACACUCUGCACACCCGAAAGGCACACAUAUGCCUCCACGGGGGUCGCCUGUGCUCUCCGCAGUCACCCCCCGCCCCCGCACACAAACCCUGGCACAAACACAAGUCACACGGCUCCUUGCCUGGCCUCAGCCCUUGGUGUCCCCCAAACUGGCCUAACUGGUGUCCUGAGCCAGGACAGCUGAAUGACCAGCCCUGGCCCGGGAUCCAGGGGUGGGAUCAAGAAGAUAGACAGGUGCACGGCGGUCAUCAGUACGGGCACAGCUUUGUCCACCCAGGACUCCUGCCACUGGGUCCCUGAACGCCCCUCCCUGAGCAGGCGAUCAGAGGACAAUUAUAAUGAUAUAUUAUUAAAGGCCUUACAUAAACUCGAUGACUGAAUGGGACGAUCGGGAGAUGCAAGAAACCUAAGUGAACGGAAAGGGAGCUCGUCUAGCCUGAGGCUUUCCUGCCUCCGAGAGACUGAGGAUGUCAUCUGGAACUGGGUUCCUUUGCCAACAGAACCUACAUUUGUGAAUCUGCACAGAAGGGCUCAGAAGACUGGAGCUGGUAAACUUUUCAGGGUGGUGAUUCCAGCAGGAAGGCAAUGCUAG